rnacentral:rRNA from 1 species
UACGGGGGGGGGGCAAGCGUUGUUCGGAAUUCCUGGGCGUAAAGGGCUCGUAGGGGCCAACUAAGUCAGACGUGAAAUCCCUCGGCUUAACCGGGGAACUGCGUCUGAUACUGGAUGGCUAGAGAUUGGGAGAGGGAUGCGGAAUUCCAGGUGUAGCGGUGAAAUGCGUAGAUAUCUGGAGGAACACCGGUGGCGAAGGCGGCAUCCUGGACCAACACUGACGCUGAGGAGCGAAAGCCAGGGGAGCAAACGGG